UAGGUCUCCACCUUUUCCUCCUUGCUCCUGUCACUACUAAUUUAUUACAUUUCCAUACAAAAGCAUUGGAAAUGACCAAAUUAUCUUAAAUGAGACCUUCAUUUUAUCCUAAUCAUAGUUAUCAGAUUUGUUGGAUCCCUUUAGUUUCCCGUUCUAGUUUGUCCUUCCCAAUUCGUAAGGGGACGCGACCUAGGUUGCCAAAAUAAGCAAGUCCAAAAGUUUAAACAGAAAUUACAGAAAA
rnacentral:misc_RNA from 1 species